AAAAAAAAAAAAAUCAGUAUCCUGUGUAGAAUCUUUCUGAUUUUUUCUCCACACUGGGACAAGUAAUCAACAAUUACUAGCUGCAAUGUUUUUGGAAGAUCUCUAUCUUUUUCCUUAAUGUAAGCAGUAACACACAUAAAGGGGGAAAUCUCUCAGAGACUUAUUGCAGAUUAUGAGGGAAGAUGAAAGAAACAGAACUCCUCGCUGGUUUUUAAGUCUGGGUGGGGAUCUUGCGGCGUGCUGUGGGACGGAAGCUCAGGUCCGGUUCCUGCACAGUUCCGGCGAGCCUGCGGUCUUCUGCAGGCUCAGCGCUGCGAAGCUGGGCUUAUCCGCCGGUCUCCCUGCUGAGGAGCCGAGCGGCCUCUGGCGCUCCCUGGGCCUGCCUGGGGAGGUAGCGCUGGACGCCUUUCCCGCCACCGAUACCGAGGGAGCGAGAACACCCCGGGCCCGGACCCGGCGGUCCCUUCCGUCCAAAGGAAGAGAAGGUGCGUUUGGAGCAGCUUCGGAUGCGAUGCCCGCUUCCAGAAUGAGAAUCAGUCUCCUGCCGGCGGAACCCACUGGCACAAGUCCUGGCUGGUGCAUGUCUGUGUGCUUGGCCCUUUCCCACGAUCCUCGACCACCAUCGCUCCAACACCCACACUCCUGUCACGCCUCGUGCCCUCCUUGGCCAAGGCCUUUCCAAGUCUCUCCAAGCCCUGCUGGUCGGGGGCGAGGGUCAAGAGUGGACGCAAAGGGACAAAUGCCAGGGAUCAAACUCAUAACCUCACACUUAUGAGGUAGAAGUUUAUACCACUAAGCUAAACCCCCAAACCUCAACUUUUACCUCUUAAGAGCAUCUCUUAAGAUGGAAAUGACCUUCUUUGAUCCUCUUUAAUGCCAGACUGGACAAUAAAAGGAACCAGUCAACAAGAAGAAACCUGGUCAUUGCGGCAGAGUUCCAUUUGACCCUGCAGUGCUGCAGGUUCAGUUCUCAAACUGACAGAGUUCCUUGUCUUAAAAAAGGAUCACUCUCGUGCCCUUGGCUGAAGCUCCUCUACUAACCGGUGGACCUGACUCCCUGUAUUCAAUCAGUGCUUCCGACUUCAAGGAUUAAAGCUUUUCAAAAUGAAAAGUUGAGAGGAAAUAGGAGAUAUGUAGAAAAACAGAAAAAAUAAGUAAUUUUGAAUGCUCUUAUAAUGUCCUUUUAGGAUGCCAACUAGGAGGGAAAAAUAUUCCACAUGGACCAGGACACCUGGAAGAGCCCCAGCUUUGACAAUGCUCUCCAGUCUGGUAUGCCAGCAAAAAGGGCUUUUGAGGUGUCCCAGGCUCAGACACGUCAGCCACAGUGAACCAUGGCCAGUCCUGGGCCGGGAGAACUUUUGUGUUUACAUUGCAACUCGUGUAGGUUUCUAUUUCUGAUGUUAUUUCUUAGGUUUUGUAAGCAAGUAUACAUGUGAAAAUGUUGAUGUCCAUUCUAAGCACUCAUUAUGCAUGCAAUAUUUUAUUUUACAGAUACCAUUUUUCCCCUGCUAAGUGCACCUUGUACAACAUAGUAGGAAGCUUCUGGCAAAAUAGCAAGAGAGGUGACAAAAAUGGCCUGCCACACAGGAAAGCAAAGCUAAGCACAUACGCUGUUAGCGAGACAUGCAGAUGUCCUUCAUGUGUGAAGCCUGCCUUGGGUGUGAUCAUUGAAGUAGAGAUUGUUUGUUUUGUAGGGUGCUAUUAUAGUAAUUCCUAUAGGAAUUUAUUUCUGUGGUCCUUUUUUAGACUCUGUACACCAAAAGUCAAUCAAUGUUGAAAAAUUUGAUGCUUUUUUAUAAAAACUCAGUAUUAAAAAUCCAACACUUUAUUUUUGUGAUUUUUUCCUGUGAAGCAUUCAUUGUUUAAUAUAACUCAUAAAACUAAAAUUAAUAUUUUAUUAUAAAAAGUCUAAAGAAUAAACAUGGGUUUGACAUACUCAUGUUUAUUGCCCUUUAGGACAAAAACAAAAACAAACAAACAAAAAAAAACCCCCCGUGUUAUGCUGUGCAGUUAGAUAGGCAAAGGCAGAACUGGUUCUUCAUUUUGGGGUGAGUGAUGGGGAGAGCGCCAGAAGCAGUAUAUUUACGUAACAUGAAAGUCAAAAGAGGCAAUGCAUUUUAAGCUUACAGAUUGCUGACAAACAUUGUGAGAUUAAACAAAUGCAAACAUUACAAAAUAGUGUGUAAGCAGGCCCAUGACAGGAUACCCGAUUCUCACUAAACCGACUUGGUACACUCUUGGAGCUUGUACAGAUGAGUGCUUUUUCCUAAUCCUUCUAUUUGUAGUAAAUAGGUACCAAUUCUUUCACAGAAAAAUAUAUUUUUAGUUCUUGUUUACCAGAUUAUGUAAACGAGUUUUCAAAAAAACUGAAAACACAAAUUUAAAAUAAAAAUUAUUAUUUUUAUAGCAAA